rnacentral:misc_RNA from 1 species
GAUGAAGAACGCAGUGAAAUGCGAUAAUUAAUGUGAAUUGCAGAAUUCAGUGAAUCAUCGAGUCUUUGAACGCACAUUGCGCCCCCUGGUAUUCCGGGGGGCAUGCCUGUCCGAGCGUCAUUGCUGCCCUCAAGCCCGGCUUGUGUGUUGGGCCUCGUCCCCCCUCCGCGGGGGACGGGCCCGAAAGGCAGCGGCGGCACCGUGUCCGGUCCUCGAGCGUAUGGGGCUUUGUCACCCGCUCUGUAGGCCCGGCCGGCGCCUUAGCCGACGACACAAUCUUUUUUUUCAGGUUGACCUCGGAUCAGGUAGGGAUACCCGCUGAACUUAAGCAUAUCAAUAAGCGGAGGA